rnacentral:lncRNA from 1 species
UUCAAUCGUCUUUUUCAGAUGCCAUCUUAAUGACCUAGAGAACGUCAUUCCCUUCGUCUUGAUUGGAUUUUUAUACGUUUGCACAAAACCAAACCCCGGAACAGCUUUACUGCAUUUCCGAACUUUCGCAGCUUUCAGAAUUUUCCACAUGUUUGCGUACCUUAUACCGUUGCCACAGCCCUCAAGAGCACUUGGUUUCUUAGUCGGCGCCAUUAUUACAGGUUCCAUGGCUGUAUCUGUCCUAAAAGCUGGAUCAUAUUAAUUCUACAAUAUUCACAGAAUUGAACAUUUUUAAUAUACAAUAUUUGAAGAUAUCAGUAUUACAAUGUACGUGAGGAACCACAUUGUCCGUUAUAGGUCCAAUUUUUGGAUCGUAUUGUUGGAUGGUUGUUUUCUAAACACAUAAUUAAGAAUUAUUAAAUAUAUUAAUACGUUUUUAGAUCCUUUAUUUGUUCAUUGACCAGGCGUUCAGGACUUAAUGAAUUAGUCAUCCAAGCUCCUAGACAUAUAUUAUGAAAGUCUAAAAGUACACCUAUUACGACUUUGCUUAGAAGUCCAACUUAUCAUACAUUCUUUCUGAUGAAAACAAGAUAAUAUUCCUUAAGGAAUUUCUACAAAAAUUCUUUAAUUUGAUUUGUGCGGCAUCGUUUUUUCUUAAUAUAUAUUUCUCAAUGAAACAAAAAUAAGAGUAUGAGACUAUGAAACGAGAUAAUUCAACCCCACGCAGUGACAAAAACAUUGGUUAUCUUAUUAUAAAAGAUUUAUGAUAAAUCUUACUACUACAGAUGUAAUAUUGGGAAGAAAAAGAAAUAUAUAUUCAUCAGAAACAUCUUACCGGAUUGUAUACAAUCUCCCAUGCCGCUGCCCAAAGUAUCAUUGUACAUAUGUCAUUUAUUACUUAACAUCC